CAGCUUAUACACAAAAUUAGCCUUAGAACACUCACUAAAUUAUAAGUUGUGAUGUGACAUCAUUUUCAAAUUUUAUUGCGUACUGUUUCUAGUUUUGUUUACGACAUUCAGUUUCUUUUUUCUGUCACAGUUACAAAAAUACUGUUAAUAUUAAGCUCCUGUGAAAGGCAGAUCUGAUUUUAUUUGUAUAUUAUUUAGUGUGAUUCAUGAUAAGGAUAAACCUUAAGUGUUCAUCAGAAAUAGACUCUAAAAUAAUGUUUGAUUAUGUUAACUGAUAUUCCAUUCCUUCUUGGUAGAACGACUUCAUAAUUAGAAAUGAAAAGCACAGAAUUGUGUAUGUUCUAUGGUACUAAAUAAAAAUUAAAAUAAUUGAAAUCUUGUAUGCUUGAACUAUCUUUUGUUGUUGGAGUCUUAAAAGUAAAUGUGCCUGAUGUUCUGUUUUGGAUGGUUAUUAAAGUGAAGUACAUUAUGUACAUUUAUUCAGUUUUUUUAAUCAUGAUUUAUGCACUUAAUUUCAUCUUUUUAGAGCAAGAAGUUAAACAGCAUUCCUGUUUGGUUUGAUUUCUUUUCUUCUUUCCAUGGCAUGAAGUUAAAAAUUAAAAUCUGGGAUGUAAUGACUCAUUCAUUUUGCAUGUGGUUGAGUUGGUGGAUAGAAAAUGCCAGACGGACUGGACUGGUUUAUUUAGCAAACAUACAUUGCAUAAUUUUUUAAGUGGUGCGUAUAUGAUAGCAACGAAAUACGCUUAUAACUGGUGUUAAGUAUGUUAUUUUAUUUGUGUAACAUGUGUUUGUUGAUAAAUUGAUUCAAAUAAUACCUGAUGCUACGUAAACAUUGAUCACAUUAACUUAUGGUCUAAAUUAUUUUCAGUGUAACUUGUUCACUCUGAGAAGGAUUUACAUAAAAUGAACUGUGAAUUAGUACGUUCAGCACUUUCAUAAUCCAGUUUGAGUGUUGUUGGGGGUGGGAUUGGGACUACAUUUUUCUUCUCUCAGCUAGUUGAAUCAGGUUGACAUUUUGUUUGUUUUUAAUGAGGAAACAAAAGAUUUUAGACUUAAUGGCCUGAAGUAAGAAAAUGUUUCACUUAGAAUUGCGAGGAUCUAGACUCAAAUAAAAGUUUUGCCAUGCUAUUUGACACUAUCCCUCUACACUCCUAGAUUCUGAUAUGAUCUUUCGUGAGAGCCAGGGCUCAGUGUGUUGUUAAGGAGAGCAAGAAAAGUUCAUGGCAAGGGUGCCUGGUCUCUAUCAAUUGACCUACUUGUUCUACAAAAGUAUUUGAAGUCAUCCAGAGGAUUUCCGGUGAACACAGUUGUUAACCAAUAGCAGCAGUGCUGAAAUAGGGGUGUCUCCAAACAGUGCUCAGAGACGUUGCUCAGAUGAUGGCAGAGCAUUUUGCAACAACUAAAGCCAAUGUUAACAAGGAUCUGGUGUUCCGCUGCUGCCGUGCAACUGCAGAGAGGGACAAGUUGGACUUUAGAUCCCACGUUCUGUGUCUUGCAACCACUCUUUCUCCAUGUAGGAGCUUGAAUUGGCACUGUCUGAGACUCUUGAUACUGCACCUGCUCACAACCAGUAGCGGUACUGCAAGCUUAGACAUUUCCCGGCAGCAUCAAAGGGAAUCCUCCUCAAAUGUUUUAAUCUUAUUUGGCAGACGCACAACUUCCCCAACUCGUGGAGAGAGGCAAUUCUGAUAUCUCUCCUCAAGCAAGGGAAGGACUGCACAUGUCCCAGUAGUUACUGGAGUGUCACCUUGACGAACUGUGUAGGAAAGUCUUUGGAGCAAGUGGUUAAUUGUUAUUUGGUCUGGUUGAUAGAGACCAGGCAACUCCUUAGCUGCUCUCAGUGUGGAUUCCAGCGACUUCGGUCAUUGUUGACAAACUGAUCCUACUAGAGGCCUUUCGUGUGUAAACAUCACUGUCUCGGUAUAUUCUUUUUAUCAUUAAGGUUUAUGACACUACUUGGAGACACAGUAUUCUCAUGCAACUCAGUCAAUGAGGCUUUGGAGGCUUCCUCCCCAUCUUCAUACGGUCCUUUCUGUCUAAGUCCUUUUUUAUGUCCCGAAUUAGAGACUUGCUGUUGGAUUGUUUUGAGUAAGACAGUGAUAUUCCUCAAGGCAGUGUUUUAAGUGUUACCCUCUUUGCCAUGGCCAUACAUCAGGUCUACAGUAAGGAAUCCUGUACAGUUCUCUUUAUUUGUGGGCGAUUUUGCUUUUUUCUGUUCCUCGUCCAGAAUUGCAACGGUGACUCAUCAGUUGCAACUUACAGCGCGGAAGUUAGAGGAGUGGGUUGCAAUGACGUAUUCUCAGUUUUCUGCAGAUAAGUUCCUUUCAUACUUUUAAUUUACCUGACUUGCGUAUGAAGGACAUCAUUCUACAUUUGAAAAACUCAGUGAAGUUUCUAGACAUCAUUUUUUACUUCAAACUGUCAUGGUUCCCACACCUGAGAGACCUGAAAGCCAGAACUCAGAAGGCACGAAAUAUCAUAAAGUGCCUUUGCCACGUGUCUCGGGGAGCAGAUGCGUACAUGACCAGCCCCAUACACAGUCUGUGUGCCGAGGUUGGAGAGCUGCCACUCACCAUCCGGCGGCAGCUCUUCGUGGUGCGCUAGGCGUGUAAGUUUCCUGCAGCUCUGACUUCACUUGCAUACCAUACUGUCUGUAAAAAAGGAUACUGAUUUUCAAAGAUGGUGUACAUGAUGCCCUGUUAAUGUUUUCCUCGUUUUUCAGAUGCUGGAAAGUUAUGCAACUCUGCCACGCUGCAGACUUCCCACGGACAGCCUGCUGAAAUGCCUAGUGACUCUUCUUUGACACAACCUUUGUACACAAAGUCCACUGCAUUGUAGGCAGCUGCAGCCUGCUUGUAUAGAGACUGCUGGAGACUGUGCUGGAAAGCUGUGGUACUUUACUGUGCUACAGCCUCCACUUGGACAGUCUGCUGACUUGCCAAGCAACUCCUCUUUGCCACAACUUUUGUAUACUACAUCCACUGGAUUAAGUAACCAGCCACAACCUGUUUGUACAGAGACUACUGGUAUUUCUAGCCAACCUCAUAUGUCUCACAUACCAUAUGUAUGCUCGACUGAAUCACACACACUCAUUCCUGUGUCACAGGUGCCUUGUGUUCUUCCCACAAAUUUGCCAAGGUUAUCACAGGGUUCAGUGUCUAGAACAACCAAAGAUUCUCAAACUCCCAGAGACAGUAAAGUGGAAUGUCGCGUGGAGACAGCAUACUAUUGCCCUGAGUGCCCAUAUGCUGCAAAACGAGAAUGCAAUCUUUUGCGACAUAUGUGUAUGUGCCAUAGGAAGUUUAAAUGAAUAAAUUGUAACACACACACACACACACACACACACACACAUUGAUUUGAAAGAGCAGAAAGGCCAUAAAUGUGGGAAAAUUGAUGUAUUGUUCAAUACACACAACUUGUGCAAAGAAAUCACAUUAAAGCAUUGAAGU